CGCAACGCCGAGCUGCACGCGACGUCGUCCACGGCCCCGCCCUCGCCUUCGAGCCCGAGCACUGCGACAUCGCCUCCACGUCGUACUCGCCACCGGAGCCCCAACCUCGUCGCGAUGCCGCGGUCGUGCCUCUGCUCCGAGCCACGACGCCGCAACCUCCUCUGGAACGAGUCCAGGGAGCCCCACACCGAUGCGCCCCGUCGCCCGCGACCUGGACCUCGCCGUGGCCACGUCGCGGCCAGCACCGCGAGCUCU
rnacentral:lncRNA from 1 species